AGUACACUCUACUUCUUCUUUUGUUCAACUUUAUUUCUCUCAUUCUUUGGCGGCGGACCCUUCCUCCUUGCAAGCCUGCCGGUAACCUCAGUCUCACUGAUUGAACCAUCAUUUAGCUUCUUUGUGGCGUAGUCCCACAACAGAACUCCAUAGCGUCUACAGUGUUUGUCAAUAUCAGUAAGAUCUUCCUUUGGUAUAGACAAAUACACAAAUUUGAGUCAACAGUGACAGUUCCAAAUAAAAAUUAUAUGAAACUACAUUAAACUACCAAAAAACUACAAUUAACUACAAAUUU
rnacentral:lncRNA from 1 species